rnacentral:lncRNA from 1 species
CUACCUCUGCCCCGAGGAAAGGAUAUGGAUCUGCAUAAUGUAAUCUGGUUCAAGGUGUACUGCAAGAUCCUACCAUACUAAGUGGCCUUUUGAUGUGAUUAUCUUAGCAAAGUUUGAACACCGACAUGAAAUAAGGGUUGCAAAGUAAAGAGCUGUAGCAUCUACAUGAACUGCAAAUCUCAUGGCAUCUGGACUUUCAUACCUAAGGUCUUAUUCAUCUCUUCAAGUUGAAAAGAUUCUAGACUGCAGAGCCUGAAUUCCCUGCAACAUUAUGCUUCAUGUGGAACAUCAGCCAGCCUACAGAUACAAGCUCCCUUUCCAGCUCUAAGCAAGAGGGACCACAAUGCUAAACAGUUCGUGGACAUGUCGCUUUUUUCAACUACGACUUUCCAUGAAACAGACUUUCAAAUUAAUUCAGCUAAAGCUAUUAAAAAUGCUUCAGUCAGGGUACCAUGGGUUUGCCAUCAGUUUGCCAUGAGUAUGAGAUUAUUGGUUUGAUAAGAAUUCAUCAAGUAAGGUCUAAAGGAACUAAGAUUUUCAAUGAUACUUCCAAGAAUUCUAUUAUUUUAAAAAGAAUGUCAGAAUCUUGCGGAAGAAAGAUCAAAAUACUAGUUAUAGGAUAAAGGAUAAAACUAAAGUCUUUAUCCAUAUUAAGUUAGCGCUGCUAUUUCAGCCUGCACUUUCGAGAAAUAUCUUAUUAAGGGUUGUUGCUGAUUUUAAAAUCAAUGAUUCUGUCAUGGAGGUUUAUUGUUUUUAAACUUACAUUACAUAGACAAAUCCGUUCAUGGUGAUGAAUCUUAAAAUAUCAAAUCGGAAAUUUGAGGGCCAAUUUGGAACUCUCCCUAGA